UACAGAGGUGGCAAGCGUUGUUCGGAAUUACUGGGCGUAAAGGGCGCGUAGGCGGCCUGCUAAGUCAGACGUGAAAUCCCCCGGCUUAACCUGGGAACUGCGUCUGAUACUGGGAGGCUUGAGUAUGGGAGAGGGAUGUAGAAUUCCAGGUGUAGCGGCGAAAUGCGUAGACAUCUGGAGGAAUACCGGUGGCGAAGGCGGCAUCCUGGACCAUAACUGACGCUGAGGCGCGAAAGCUAGGGGAGCAAACGGG
rnacentral:rRNA from 1 species